rnacentral:rRNA from 1 species
CAGCAGCCACGGUAAAACGUAGGGCGCAAGCGUUGUCCGGAAUUAUUGGGCGUAAAGAGCUCGUAGGCGGUCUGUCGCGUCUGGUGUGAAAUCCCGAGGCUCAACCUCGGGCUUGCAUCGGGUACGGGCAGACUAGAGUGCGGUAGGGGAGACUGGAAUUCCUGGUGUAGCGGUGGAAUGCGCAGAUAUCAGGAGGAACACCGAUGGCGAAGGCAGGUCUCUGGGCCGCAACUGACGCUGAGGAGCGAAAGCAUGGGGAGCGAACAGGAUUAGAUACCCCAGUAGUCCCUGUCUCUUAUAC